GUUUGAUCAUGGCUCAGGAUGAACGCUGGCGGCAUGCCUAAUACAUGCAAGUCGAACGAGAAUCAUUGAGGUGCUUGCACCACUUUGAUUCUAGUGGCGAACGGGUGAGUAACACGUGAGAAAUCUGCCCUUUAGACUGGGAUAACUACUGGAAACGGUUUGUAAUACCGGAUGUCUUCUUUGUACCGCAUGGUACUUAGAGAAAAGCUUAGAUGCACUAAAGGAUGAUCUCGCGGCGUAUUAGUUAGUUGGUGAGAUAGUGGCUCACCAAGACAAUGAUACGUAGCCGGCCUGAGAGGGUGACCGGCCACACUGGGACUGAGACACGGCCCAGACUCCUACGGGAGGCAGCAGUAGGGAAUCAUCGGCAAUGGGGGAAACCCUGACCGUGCAAUGCCGCGUGAGUGAUGAAGGCCUUCGGGUUGUAAAACUCUGUUGUGAAGGAAGAACAACCUAGAUAGAAUCUAGGUCUGACGGUACUUCACCAGAAAGCCAUGGCUAACUACGUGCCAGCAGCCGCGGUAAUACGUAGAUGGCAAGCGUUAUCCGGAUUUAUUGGGCGUAAAGGGUGCUCAGCUGGUUUAUUAAGUUUGUAGUUAAAAUUCGAAGCUCAACUUCGAAGUGCUGCGAAAACUGGUAAACUUGAGUACAGGAGAGGGUAGUGGAAUUCCAUGUGAAGCGGUAAAAUGCGUAGAUAUAUGGAGGAACACCAGUGGCGAAGGCGGCUACCUGGCCUGUAACUGACGGUCAAGCACGAAAGCGUGGGGAGCAAAUAGGAUUAGAUACCCUAGUAGUCCACGCCGUAAACGAUGAAUACUAAGUGUUGGAGAAAUUCAGUGCUACAGUUAACGCAAUAAGUAUUCCGCCUGGGGAGUAUGCGCGCAAGCGUAAAACUCAAAGGAAUUGACGGGGGCCCGCACAAGCGGUGGAUCAUGUGGUUUAAUUCGACGCAACGCGAAGAACCUUACCAGGUCUUGACAUAUCGGGCAAAACUCUAGAGAUAGAGCUAUAAUUAUUCCGAAUACAGGUGGUGCAUGGUUGUCGUCAGCUCGUGUCGUGAGAUGUUGGGUUAAGUCCCGUAACGAGCGCAACCCCUAUCUUUAGUUGCCAGCAUUAAGUUGGGGACUCUAAAGAGACUGCCGGUGAUAAACCGGAGGAAGGUGGGGAUGAGGUCAAAUCAUCAUGCCCCUUAUGACCUGGGCUACACACGUGAUACAAUGGCGUAUACAACGGGAAGCGAAACAGUGAUGUGGAGCAAAUCCUAAAAAGUACGUCUCAGUUCGGAUCGUAGUCUGCAACUCGACUACGUGAAGUUGGAAUCGCUAGUAAUCGCAGAUCAGAAUGCUGCGGUGAAUACGUUCUCGGGCCUUGUACACACCGCCCGUCAAACCAUGAAAGUCGGUAGUACCCGAAACCGGUCGCCUAACCAGCCUAGCUGGAGGGAGCCGUCUAAGGUAAGAUUGAUGAUUGGGGUUAAGUCGUAACAAGGUA
rnacentral:rRNA from 1 species